rnacentral:tRNA from 1 species
GCUGGCUUAGUUGGAAGAGCAUGAGACUCUUGAUCUUGGGGUUGUGGGUUAGAGUCCCACACUGGGCA